UUACAGCCAUAUCAUGUUGAAACACCAGAUCUUAUAUGAUCACCAUAGUUAAGCAAUAUUGAGCCUGGUCAGUACCUAAAUGGGUGGCUGUUUGGGAAUACCAGGUGCUGUAA